rnacentral:rRNA from 1 species
UACGUAGGGGCCGAGCGUUGUCCGGAGUUAUUGGGCGUAAAGCGCGCGCAGACGGCUUCGCGCGUCCGACGUGAAAGCCUGGAGCUUAACUCCAGAAUUGCACCUCAAACUACUUGGCUAGAGCAUUGGAGAGGGUAGCAGAAUUCAUGGUGUAGCAGUGAAAUGCGUAGAUAUCAUGAGGAAUACCAGAGGCGAAGGCGGCUACCUGGACAAUUGCUGACGCUAAGGCACGAAAGCGUGGGGAGCAAAAGGG